rnacentral:rRNA from 1 species
AACGUAGGACGCAAGCGUUGUUCGGAAUUACUGGGCGUAAAGGGCGCGUAGGCGGCCUUCUAAGUCGAACGUGAAAUCCCCGGGCUCAACCCGGGAACUGCGUCCGAUACUGGAAGGCUUGAAUCCGGGAGAGGGAUGCGGAAUUCCAGGUGUAGCGGUGAAAUGCGUAGAUAUCUGGAGGAACACCGGUGGCGAAGGCGGCAUCCUGGACCGGUAUUGACGCUGAGGCGCGAAAGCUAGGGGAGCAAACAGG